UACCAGUCCCUGCUUUGCUGUUUGCCC
rnacentral:piRNA from 1 species